rnacentral:rRNA from 2 species
CAGAUGAACGCGGGCGGUGUGCCUAAUACAUGCAAGUCGAACGCGUUGGCCCAAUUGAUUGACGGUGCUUGCACCUGAUUGAUUUUGGUCGCCAACGAGUGGCGGACGGGUGAGUAACACGUAGGUAACCUGCCCAGAAGCGGGGGACAACAUUUGGAAACAGAUGCUAAUACCGCAUAACAGCGUUGUUCGCAUGAACAACGCUUAAAAGAUGGCUUCUCGCUAUCACUUCUGGAUGGACCUGCGGUGCAUUAGCUUGUUGGUGGGGUAACGGCCUACCAAGGCGAUGAUGCAUAGCCGAGUUGAGAGACUGAUCGGCCACAAUGGGACUGAGACACGGCCCAUACUCCUACGGGAGGCAGCAGUAGGGAAUCUUCCACAAUGGGCGCAAGCCUGAUGGAGCAACACCGCGUGAGUGAAGAAGGGUUUCGGCUCGUAAAGCUCUGUUGUUAAAGAAGAACACGUAUGAGAGUAACUGUUCAUACGUUGACGGUAUUUAACCAGAAAGUCACGGCUAACUACGUGCCAGCAGCCGCGGUAAUACGUAGGUGGCAAGCGUUAUCCGGAUUUAUUGGGCGUAAAGAGAGUGCAGGCGGUUUUCUAAGUCUGAUGUGAAAGCCUUCGGCUUAACCGGAGAAGUGCAUCGGAAACUGGAUAACUUGAGUGCAGAAGAGGGUAGUGGAACUCCAUGUGUAGCGGUGGAAUGCGUAGAUAUAUGGAAGAACACCAGUGGCGAAGGCGGCUACCUGGUCUGCAACUGACGCUGAGACUCGAAAGCAUGGGUAGCGAACAGGAUUAGAUACCCUGGUAGUCCAUGCCGUAAACGAUGAGUGCUAGGUGUUGGAGGGUUUCCGCCCUUCAGUGCCGGAGCUAACGCAUAAGCACUCCGCCUGGGGAGUACGACCGCAAGGUUGAAACUCAAAGGAAUUGACGGGGGCCCGCACAAGCGGUGGAGCAUGUGGUUUAAUUCGAAGCUACGCGAAGAACCUUACCAGGUCUUGACAUCUUGCGCCAACCCUAGAGAUAGGGCGUUUCCUUCGGGAACGCAAUGACAGGUGGUGCAUGGUCGUCGUCAGCUCGUGUCGUGAGAUGUUGGGUUAAGUCCCGCAACGAGCGCAACCCUUGUUACUAGUUGCCAGCAUUAAGUUGGGCACUCUAGUGAGACUGCCGGUGACAAACCGGAGGAAGGUGGGGACGACGUCAGAUCAUCAUGCCCCUUAUGACCUGGGCUACACACGUGCUACAAUGGACGGUACAACGAGUCGCGAACUCGCGAGGGCAAGCAAAUCUCUUAAAACCGUUCUCAGUUCGGACUGCAGGCUGCAACUCGCCUGCACGAAGUCGGAAUCGCUAGUAAUCGCGGAUCAGCAUGCCGCGGUGAAUACGUUCCCGGGGCCUUGUACACACCGCCCGUCACACCAUGAGAGUUUGUAACACCCAAAGUCGGUGGGGUAACCUUUUAGGAGCCAGCCGCCUAAGGUGGGACAGAUGAUUAGGGUGAAGU